ACGCAACGCGCAGACUUACCCUGGCUUGACAUCCCGAUCGUACUUCUGGAAACAGUUAGGUCAGUUCGGCUGGAUCGGUGACAGGUGCUGCAUGGCUGUCGUCAGCUCGUGUCGUGAGAUGUUGGGUUAAGUCCCGCAACGAGCGCAACCCUUGUCCUUAGUUGCCAGCAUUAAGUUGGGCACUCUAAGGAGACUGCCGGUGUUAAACCGGAGGAAGGUGGGGAUGACGUCAAGUCCUCAUGGCCCUUAUGUCCAGGGCUACACACGUGCUACAAUGGCCGGUACAAAGGGCUGCAAUACCGCAAGGUGGAGCGAACCCCAAAAAGCCGGUCUCAGUUCGGAUUGGAGUCUGCAACUCGACUUCGUGAAGCUGGAUUCGCUAGUAAUCGCGCAUCAGCCAUGGCCGCGGUCCGAAUACGUUCCGGCCUU
rnacentral:rRNA from 1 species